rnacentral:misc_RNA from 1 species
GGACUCGGCGAGGGAAGUGCCAACUGGACCAGACCCUCUUCACCACAAUGACAACCCCAUAAGACCAUAAGCUUUGUAAAAACCCUCUUUUGAUGGAUCUUCGCACUUAUUAGUACUGGGUUUCUCAUGAGUUUUAUCUCUUUAUCACCUCUACUGAUACAUUGGCACAUUGUGUAUAACUCAUAGGUUGAUUUAGGAUAGCGUUCUCU